rnacentral:tRNA from 1 species
GGCCAUGGCUCAGGGGCAAAGCAUCUACCUUGCAAGCAGAAGGUCCCUGGUUCAAUCUCCAGGUGGGGCUG